AGGGCCUCUCAUGUAUGUCUGGCUGGUGAGGAACUCUCUGUCCCAUCAAAGAUGGCCUGGAGUUGUUGUUUCUCCUGUCUCCACUUCCAAACUAAUGGGAUUAAAGCUGUGGGCACUACAUAUGACUUGACUUCUAAACAACUGCUUAUUUAUACCAAGACACUCUGCACAAACUAUUGCUAUACACUUAAAUAAGCGCAUAUGGGAAAUGACCAAAGAAAGCUAAGUUAGUUGACUUUUAUUUUUAUUUAUUUAUUUAUUUAUUUAUUCAUUUAUUCAUUUAGAUUUUUUUUUUGGUUUUUUGAGAUAGGGUUUCUCUGUAUAGCUCUGGCUGUCCUGGAACUCACUUUGUAGACUAGGCUGGCCUCGAACUCAGAAAUCUGCCUGCCUCUGCCUCCCGAGUGCUGGGAUUAAAAGCAUGGGCCACCAUGCCCGGCUUUUUUUUUUUUUUUUUUUUUUUUUAAUUGUCAACCAGACACAACCUAGAGUCACCAGAAAAUUAGGAACUUCAAGUAAAGAACUGCCCAGAUGGGCUUGGCUGAUGGCAGCUGUGAGAGAAUGACCCAUUGGAGAUGGCAUGAGGACCCAGCCCACUGCAGGCUGGAGUCAGCACCAACAGGCCAACAGGGUUGUUGUUGUUUCAGCUCUGGGCCCGACUUCUCUCCGUGAUAGACUGUUUAUUACCUGCAAGUGUAAGCCUGAAAUAAACUCUUUCUUAUCCAAGCUGCUUCUGGUCAGAGUAUUUUCUCACAGCAAAAGGACCGGUGAAAUUGUCACUAGGGCCAUGAAUUCGAAACCGCUCUUCUUUCCUUACCCAGCGCUGAAGUGAACCAAAGCAGCAGAGGCAGUUAACACGGCCACGCCAGAACCCUGGGCUUGUGAACACUAGUCCACGAGCCAGGACCCAUACCUUCCUCACUGUGUCGGGGCACCCUGGCACUUCUUAUGCCAGCUUGAGUACAAGUCAGAUUUCAUCAUCACUAACCUUAAGAUCUCGGACAAGCUAGAUCUUUUGAGUCUGAAUUUAUUCAGUAAAAUAGUAAUAACCAUUUCGAAAAGUAAAUUAGAAGCGGAGUAGGCUUAUAGAAAGGCACAGCAAGGUGUCCUGUAACAUCGGUUCCCUUUGCCACGGAUCCUCUGGGAGCCUCUCAGGGCUCCGUGAAAGAAACAUGCCAGGCAGCGUAUUAUCUGAUUUCCCUUACCUAAUCUAAGAGGACAGCCAACUGCUUACACAGGUCCGCCAUGCCAAGCAAUGUAGGAAAGGUCAAGAAGCCGUCCGAAAUGGUAGCACUCUAUUCAUCUCCCCAAAUCCUUGUGUCCUAAUAUCGGGUGGCCUGACGGUCUUCACGGCUUUAAGGUCUGCAAAGGCAAUCUGAUAAACCUUGCUGUUGUUCCAGGUCCGACUCUUGGCCUGCAGGUGGAACAAUCUCCCACAGCACCCUAUUUGGUCCUGAUGAGGGCAGCAUGCCAGGGGACCGCAGGCAAAGCCAGGCGGCUUUCACCAGAUCUCCAGGAGCGCAAAGCCUAGGGGGCGUUUCCGAGCGCGGGGGCGGGCACAGCCGGUACCGCCCCCGCCACCUUCAGGGUGGUGCUUGGGUGCUGAUCUUAAACUUCGGCAAAGUUUGCAACGGGUCUCAAGCACGUGCGGCUUCCCCGCCCGGCUCCGCGUUCCCCGAGCCGCCCCCGGUCACCUGCGCGCGGUUGGUCUCUGUCGUUUCCCCAGCGGCCGUCCCCCUGCGCUCUCACGCGACACGCUUCUCCCAGGCUCGAGGAGGCGGCGGCGACAGCGCGUAGCGGGCGCCCCGAGGAGCCCCGAGAGGCGGGGUCAGGGCGGGCCGGCGCUUGGUUCCCGGAAGCCGCUGCUUGCCUGCGAGGCUCCGGCCGAGGCCGGAGCUCGAGCAUCCUCACCCGCGCUUCCCGGAGCCGCCGCCCGGCCGCGCGCACCGCGGGCGAGAUGCUGCCGGUGCACACCGAGGUGAAACCCAACCCGCUGCAGGACGCCAACCUCUGCUCGCGCGUGUUCUUCUGGUGGCUCAACCCGCUGUUUAAAACUGGUCAUAAGCGGAGACUGGAAGAAGAUGACAUGUUCUCAGUGCUUCCAGAAGAUCGCUCAAAGCACCUCGGAGAGGAGCUUCAACGGUACUGGGAUAAAGAACUUCUGCGAGCCAAGAAGGACUCGAGGAAGCCCUCCUUAACAAAGGCAAUCAUAAAGUGUUACUGGAAGUCUUACCUGAUUUUGGGAAUUUUUACGUUAAUUGAGGAGGGCACUCGAGUAGUUCAGCCCUUAUUUUUAGGGAAAAUUAUUGAAUAUUUUGAGAAGUAUGACCCCGACGACUCGGUGGCUUUGCAUACAGCUUAUGGCUACGCAGCAGUGCUGUCCAUGUGCACGCUCAUCCUGGCCAUACUACAUCAUUUGUACUUCUACCACGUGCAGUGCGCCGGGAUGAGGCUGCGGGUUGCCAUGUGCCACAUGAUUUACCGGAAGGCACUCCGGUUAAGUAACUCGGCCAUGGGGAAGACAACCACAGGCCAGAUAGUUAACCUGCUGUCCAACGACGUGAACAAAUUCGACCAAGUGACAAUCUUCUUGCACUUUCUGUGGGCAGGGCCGCUGCAGGCCAUCGCGGUAACCGUCCUCCUCUGGGUGGAGAUAGGAAUCUCCUGCCUGGCGGGCUUGGCCGUUCUGGUUAUUCUUCUGCCUCUGCAAAGCUGCAUCGGGAAGCUGUUCUCGUCACUGCGGAGUAAAACUGCGGCUUUCACGGAUGCCAGGAUCCGGACCAUGAAUGAAGUCAUAACAGGCAUGAGGAUAAUAAAGAUGUAUGCGUGGGAGAAAUCGUUUGCUGACCUCAUUGCCAAUCUGAGAAAGAAGGAGAUUUCCAAGAUUCUGGGCAGCUCCUACCUCAGAGGGAUGAACAUGGCGUCGUUUUUCAUCGCAAACAAAGUCAUCCUGUUCGUGACCUUCACUAGCUACGUGCUGCUUGGCAAUGAGAUUACAGCUAGCCACGUGUUUGUGGCCAUGACUCUGUACGGUGCCGUUCGGUUGACAGUCACCCUCUUCUUCCCGUCAGCCAUUGAGAGAGGGUCAGAGGCCAUCGUCAGCAUUCGGAGGAUCAAGAACUUUCUGUUACUCGAUGAACUACCACAGCGCAAAGCCCAUGUACCAUCUGAUGGCAAAGCCAUUGUCCACGUGCAAGAUUUCACCGCUUUCUGGGACAAGGCACUAGACAGUCCAACCCUGCAAGGUCUUUCCUUUAUUGCCAGGCCUGGUGAGUUGUUAGCCGUGGUUGGCCCAGUUGGAGCAGGCAAGUCGUCGCUGUUGAGCGCAGUGCUGGGUGAGCUGCCUCCUGCCAGCGGGCUGGUCAGCGUGCACGGGAGGAUCGCCUACGUUUCUCAGCAGCCCUGGGUGUUCUCGGGCACCGUGAGGAGCAAUAUUUUAUUUGGGAAGAAAUAUGAGAAGGAGCGAUAUGAGAAAGUGAUCAAGGCCUGUGCUCUGAAGAAGGACCUGCAGCUUCUGGAGGACGGGGAUCUGACGGUUAUAGGAGACCGGGGAGCCACGCUGAGUGGAGGCCAGAAAGCUCGGGUGAACCUGGCACGGGCCGUCUACCAGGACGCCGACAUCUACCUCCUUGAUGAUCCGCUCAGCGCUGUCGAUGCAGAAGUGGGCAAGCACCUGUUCCAACUGUGUAUCUGUCAGGCGUUGCACGAGAAGAUCACCAUUUUAGUGACUCACCAGUUACAGUACCUCAAAGCUGCAAGCCACAUCCUCAUACUCAAAGAUGGUGAGAUGGUGCAGAAGGGGACUUACACGGAGUUUCUGAAAUCUGGUGUAGAUUUUGGCUCCCUGUUAAAGAAAGAAAACGAGGAAGCAGAGCCCUCCACAGCCCCAGGAACCCCGACACUCAGGAAACGAACCUUCUCCGAGGCCUCAAUUUGGUCUCAGCAGUCAUCCAGACCCUCGUUGAAAGACGGGGCCCCAGAGGGCCAAGACGCAGAGAACACGCAGGCAGUGCAACCCGAGGAGAGCCGUUCGGAAGGGAGAAUCGGCUUCAAGGCCUACAAGAAUUACUUCUCGGCGGGCGCAUCCUGGUUCUUCAUCAUUUUCCUUGUGCUGCUUAACAUGGUGGGCCAGGUUUUCUAUGUUCUUCAGGACUGGUGGCUUUCCCACUGGGCGAACAAGCAAGGUGCACUGAACAACACCAGAAAUGCGAAUGGAAAUAUAACGGAGACCCUAGACCUCAGCUGGUACUUAGGAAUUUACGCAGGUCUAACUGCGGUCACCGUCCUUUUUGGCAUAGCGAGAUCCCUACUGGUGUUCUAUAUCCUUGUGAACGCUUCCCAGACUUUGCACAACAGGAUGUUUGAGUCCAUACUGAAGGCUCCCGUGUUGUUCUUCGACAGAAAUCCAAUCGGGAGGAUUUUAAAUCGUUUCUCCAAAGACAUCGGACACAUGGAUGAUUUGCUUCCCCUGACGUUCCUGGACUUCAUCCAGAGCUCGUUGCUGAGGAGGGUCUGUCUCUGUGCUGCUCCAGACGUUGCUCCUCGUCGUAAGUGUGAUCGCUGUGGCCGCGGCCGUGAUCCCUUGGAUCCUCAUACCAUUGGUUCCGCUCUCAGUCGUCUUCCUGGUUCUUCGGAGAUACUUCUUAGAGACGUCACGGGAUGUCAAGCGCCUGGAAUCCACAACACGGAGCCCGGUAUUCUCCCAUUUAUCGUCCUCCCUCCAGGGACUCUGGACCAUCCGGGCUUACAAAGCUGAGGAGAGGUGUCAGGAGCUGUUUGAUGCACACCAGGACUUGCAUUCAGAGGCUUGGUUCUUGUUCCUGACGACAUCGAGAUGGUUCGCUGUGCGUCUGGACGCCAUCUGCGCCAUCUUUGUAAUCGUCGUUGCCUUCGGGUCCCUUGUUCUGGCGAAGACUUUGAAUGCUGGGCAGGUUGGCCUGGCCUUGUCCUACGCCCUCACACUCAUGGGGAUGUUCCAGUGGUCUGUGCGACAGAGCGCCGAAGUAGAGAAUAUGAUGAUUUCAGUGGAGAGAGUGAUUGAGUACACGGACCUAGAGAAGGAGGCGCCUUGGGAGUGCAAGAAGCGCCCACCCCCAGGCUGGCCCCACGAGGGAGUCAUCGUCUUCGACAAUGUGAACUUCACCUACAGCUUAGAUGGGCCUCUGGUUCUGAAGCACCUGACUGCGCUCAUCAAGUCCAGGGAAAAGGUUGGAAUUGUGGGCAGAACCGGAGCUGGGAAAAGCUCCCUCAUCUCGGCCCUCUUCAGGCUGUCAGAACCCGAGGGGAAAAUCUGGAUCGAUAAGAUCUUGACAACCGAAAUUGGGCUUCACGACUUAAGGAAGAAAAUGUCAAUCAUACCACAGGAACCUGUUCUGUUCACUGGAACCAUGAGGAAAAACCUGGACCCCUUCAAUGAGCACACGGACGAGGAGCUGUGGAGGGCCUUGGAGGAGGUACAACUUAAAGAGGCCAUUGAAGAUCUUCCUGGAAAAAUGGAUACUGAAUUAGCAGAAUCUGGAUCCAAUUUCAGUGUUGGACAGAGACAGUUAGUGUGCCUUGCAAGGGCCAUUCUAAAGAAUAACCGAAUACUGAUCAUUGAUGAAGCAACUGCAAAUGUGGACCCAAGAACGGAUGAGUUAAUACAACAGAAGAUCCGGGAGAAGUUUGCCCAGUGCACAGUGCUCACCAUUGCUCACAGACUGAACACCAUCAUUGACAGUGACAAGAUAAUGGUUUUGGAUUCAGGAAGACUGAAAGAAUAUGAUGAGCCGUAUGUCUUGCUGCAGAAUCCAGAGAGCCUCUUUUACAAGAUGGUUCAGCAACUGGGCAAGGGCGAAGCCGCUGCCCUCACCGAAACAGCAAAACAGGUAUACUUCAGACGGAAUUACCCAGAUAUUACAUUCACCAGCCCCGCGGUUAUGAACACCUCCAAUGGACAGCCCUCGGCCUUAACAAUAUUUGAAACAGCAUUGUGACCACCAGGACAUCAUCGUAAAGUCUGUCUUGAAGGUGUUCCCCACCCCGCCCAGGGGCUUGCACUUGGAGGACUACAGCACACCUGGUUUCCUUUCUUUCUGCCACAGAUCCUUCACAGACGAGAGACUGUUGUCUUUGGAUUUUUCCCUCCGACUUUACUCUGUGAUUUCAGGUUCUAACAACAUGGCCUGUCGUUUUAUUUUAAAAGUUCCUGCUGUUCUUUACAAAUCCAGUUCUGAGGUGCAGGCCACCAACAGCAGCGUCUACCAGGUUUUGUGCCUUAACAGUCUCAAGGGCUGAAGCCCAUUCAUUUUAUAAGCUGUCACCAUGGGCUGCUGCUUCCUCUUGCCUUAAAAGUACACUCUCCAGGUGUGUCAGGGACUCUGUUUACUUGAAGACUGUGUGCAGUUGCCAGUUCGUCUCCCUGCUGUCUUUGAGCUAGGACUCAUAAUUUCCCUACAAAGGUCUCUGGUUAAAAUAGAAUAGGUAGAAUUAACAAGAACCACAACAACAACCCCCCCAAAAAAUAAUCCAUAUAAUUUAAGUAUAUUGCUGGAGAGAGACUAUCCCACCACCUAUACAUCUACAAAGAUAUAUGUCUAAAGUUGGAAAAUCAACUUCUGCUUUCUCAGAAUGGGAGACCGAGCGCAGGUUAGGCACCCCUCCCCCUUGCAUCUGUGAGUCCCUCUGGGCGGCUCGUGUACUGAUCGGAUCUGUGAGUCCCUCUGGGCGGCUCGUGUACUGAUCGGAUCGGCACCAUGACACUUCCCCUAGACUGUGACUCCCAAAUGCAUAAUAUUAAUCUCAUUUGGCUUCUGGUUUACAGAAGGUAAAGCUCCUAUUGGCUGUGAGCCGUUGGUGAAAUCCUUUCACAUCGACACCAAAAGCUCUCCCCAGCUAGUGAAAACCUGAACAUCGUUAGAGUCACCGACUUUACAUGCUCAGAAUGCUGUGCACAAGCCACGCUUUCUAAAGCCCAUCCAGAUUAGUUUAGCUCUGACCACUAAUGGCAGGUCUUAAGGACCUUGUGAUUAGUCAAUCAACAAACCACAACACUUCCUAGGACCUGUUGUACUCCGUGUAACUAUAGGUCUGAAUAUUUUCUGGGUGGUGGUGGCAAGGGUCUAUGUCAGGGUUCAAGUUACUAAAGGUUUUACUGUCAUAAUUUAAAGGGGACUCUUCACGACCCGUCACAAUAAACCAUUCUCAAGUUAUCUAUGUGUGUGUGUAUAUAUAUCUCAGGUUUUUAGACUGGUUGACAGAACAAAGCCUGUUUUAACAGUGGAACCUUAAAGAGCACACCUACACCAAACCACCAAAACCACGCCGAGCACAGUGACUGUUUGACUCUUGGUAUUCAGAAGUCUGUAAUGAAUGUAAUUAUGUUUAGGCCAGUAAAUGAUGUAGAUUCGUCCUUUAUUGGUAGUCGCAGUUGAUAUUUCAAGAGAGUGAGAUGCCAUGCUGACAAUAUUAAGAUCUAUUUGAAUAUUUAGAAAUGUCUUACUGUAUAUAUGUUUAUGUUUAUUUGGUCCUUAGAGAUUAAAAGCGGUCAUACAAGUA